rnacentral:lncRNA from 1 species
CAGGACCGAGCGAGCCGGCGAGCGACCGCAGUAAAGGUAUCGCACCAUAGUCAGAGGCCACCAGAGUCGGGUUAUUACAUUUUGUUAAUAGUCUACCCUUUUAUCAUCUUUUGUAUUUGAUGAUUUAAAAUGUUAAUGUAUAAAGCAAAGAAAGAAGAGAAUGUAAUGUUUAUUUGGAGCAAAUGUGAUGUAAAAGGAAAUGAUGCAAGCAAUGUAGAGAAUCAUGAAUAUACAACUUGGAUGAAAU